rnacentral:rRNA from 1 species
UACAGAGGUCUCAAGCGUUGUUCGGAUUCAUUGGGCGUAAAGGGUGCGUAGGCGGCGCGGUAAGUCGGGUGUGAAAUCUCGGAGCUUAACCUCGAGAUGUCGGCGGAAACCAUCUGGCUAGAGUCCGGAAGAGGAGAAUGGAAUUCCCGGUGUAGCGGUGAAAUGCGCAGAGAUCGGGAGGAACACCCGUAGCGAAGGCGGCACUCUGGGCCGGUACUGACGCUGAGGAGCGAAAGCGUGGGGAGCGAACAGG